GCGGGCGUGGCGGAAUUAGCAGACGCGCAAGACUAAGGAUCUUGUGACCGCUUUUGGUCGUGGAAGUUCAAGUCUUCUCGUCCGCACUA
rnacentral:tRNA from 1 species